rnacentral:lncRNA from 1 species
CCGAAAUCUAGCUUUUAAAGAAAAAUAAGAAGCUCUAACUUGCUAUUCUAAACAAAGACGCUCUAGGUAACUAAUCCAAACAAAUCUCCAAAUAAUUAAGAAGAGAGUAAAUAACAAAAAAUUUAUUUCCUCCUAAUUGAUAAAAGUCUGAAAUUAAAAGAUUAAACAAUGGAAUGUGACCAAAAUAUCGAUGGUCUUCGUUUAGAUGGUAGUCCUUGUGAGAGUAAUAUGCAUACAAAUAGGUCCAUUUUAUUACUUGUAGUAAUGAUCCGUACAUUUGUGGGAUAUAAAAUCGACAAUAAUACUCAAAUCAAAAUUGAUAAAGUUGAAUAUAUUAACUCGGUUAAUCGUUCGAAAUGGAUGAAGAAUUUUCUUUUUCUAAACAAAAAUGAGCCACCAUGUUGAACUCAUGGACCAAAGUCCUAGACCAUCG